GUUAGCUUUGGCCGCACACACACUAAAAUUGGAACGAUAUAGAGAAGAUUAGCGCGGCCCCUGCGCAAGGAUGGCACACAAAUUCGUGAAGUGUUCCUUAUUUUU